rnacentral:lncRNA from 1 species
CCCACAUCCGAAUCUGGGGGUUGUGUCCUUUGUUGGAUAUUUGUCUCCUUGGGUGAGAUGUUCACACUCCCUGAGGCAGGAGGCAACCGCUGACAUGGGGAGCGCGAACUGCGGCCUGAGGAGCCCGUCCCUCUAGGAACGCAGCAGAGUUAGCUUUGAGUUGGUAAAAGAAUCCUGGUUGAGAGCAUCUGCUAGGAGGGGACUUACAUCCAUGUGCCUCUGUCUUCACCAUGAAGCUUUGUGCUAAACAGUAUUUUACUAUUUUGCCCCAACUGAGGUGACUUUGACUGCUUCCUGGAACAAAUGAACUGUUUUCCAGUCUUCGCCACAGGCUGCAUCUUGG